CCUACGGGAGGCAGCAGUAGGGAAUAUUGCUCAAUGGGGGAAACCCUGAAGCAGCAACGCCGCGUGGAGGAUGAAGGUUUUCGGAUUGUAAACUCCUUUUGUUAGAGAAGAUAAUUACGGUAUCUAACGAAUAAGCAUCGGCUAACUCCGUGCCAGCCGCCGCGGUAAUACGGAGGGUGCAAGCGUUACUCGGAAUCACUGGGCGUAAAGGGCGCGUAGGCGGGAUAGCAAGUCAGAUGUGAAAUCCUAUGGCUUAACCAUAGAACUGCAUUUGAAACUGUUAUUCUAGAGUAUGGGAGAGGUAGGUGGAAUUCUUGGUGUAGGGGUAAAAUCCGUAGAGAUCAAGAGGAAUACUCAUUGCGAAGGCGACCUGCUAGAACAUAACUGACGCUGAUGCGCGAAAGCGUGGGGAGCAAACAGGAUUAGAUACCCCGGUAGUC
rnacentral:rRNA from 1 species